rnacentral:lncRNA from 1 species
AAAUCGUUGAAAUUUUUAAUUUCGAGUUUUGACCGUUUUUGAGCAAUGUAUAUAAAUGUCUACAACUUCAGUAAUUUUCAAAGUCUAAUCUUGCUUAAUUACGUCAUACGUGACGUCACGAAACGUAUCACAAGCGGUACAACUGGCAAACACCGUUUUCACGAAGUGGCCUCUUACGCGCAAAUGUAGUCUGCUAUUGAUAAUCGUACACGAACCGGCUCCGCGAAGCCUUUGUCACAGAUGCCGGUGCUUCUGGCGGAAUUGUUAGAGGAAUCUGACAGCCCUAGAAUAGCCGGCUGAGAGGACCAUCACUAGCACUCCCAGGCCCAGUGGCUGAUGUCUAAGUAGGAGUUUGACGUGGAGAGCUUUUAGCAUGUUGUUGAGUUUACCAGUAGAAUAGACAGCUGGGAUACGCAAGAGAUGAGGGACCACUAGCACCCCCAGUGGUUGAUGUCCAUGUAGGAGUUUGUGCAGCUGAUGUGGAGAGCUUUUAGCAAAUUGACAAGCAUCUUCACCCUCUGCCCUUGAACUGAUUGCUUUUCCAAUACCACGGUUUGGAGGUCAGACCAAACGACUGACAGACCGACCGACUGAAUAGCUAAGUCCCCUCAGUCAUCAAAGGAUGGACAAAAAUACAGAAGUUAUUGUUAGGUGGGAUCGUGAUGGAGAGAUCAAUUGUGGCAAGAAACGAGAUCUUCGAUAUAACGGAAGGCGUAGGGUGGGUUCAAGAGUCACUAUGAGCUAGAUGGAUGUGGACUGGACAGGGACUGCAACACUGACAGGAGACUCUGACUCCGAAUGUGCCUCCAUUUAGAGGUUUUGUGGUCUAAUGGAUAAGUCGUUGGACUGUGGAUCACAGGAUCCAUGGUUCAAGUCCCGCCACAGCAGUAAUGUCUUUUGGCAAGAUAUUAAUCUACAUUUGCCACUCUGCUGUGAGCACCGAAAGCGGCUGCCUAGCAGAGCCAGGGUAAUAGUUAAGGCGCGUUGAGCAUAUUGUUAUUAUUAUUUUGACAGUGACAACCUCCCUCCUUCCUCACUAAGAACAGCACAGACUAAGGUCAUCCAUCAUAUGAAAGUUGCAUGUAAGAAGUUUUAAUCCCAUAAACUUACAGUGUUGUAUGUUUUUAGAAGGAUUUGGCAUGUAGGACUAAUAUUAAUUGCUAAUAGUUUAUAUUUCAAAGGGCAAUCCAACCUCUGUAAACAAGUUGAUUUAUGUUAAAGCAGAACAAAAUGAGUGUAAUAGACUGGUGAAAGUUUGAAAGAAAUCAGACAUAGAAUAAGAAAUAAUGUUUGAAAAGUUAGAUUACAACAUCUAUGUAAAUCUCAGAUCUGCAAUUUUAUGAGGCAACAGGGACGUAUGCAGCUGACAACUUUGUAUGUCAUACACAAAAAA